rnacentral:ncRNA from 1 species
CUAAAUGUUGCGAUUAGAAAUAGUAGAAGUGAAGAAACCUUUCAGAGAGCCGUUGGGUGGUGCGAAACGGCAGCGUGGCUCACUUUGAACUCGUCUAUGAACUGCGGCCUGAUAUGUAGGGUUUGCCGGAAUUCCACCGUUACAAGGAUAGAUGGUGAUGGCCAUCGAAGAAGAGCAUUUCAGCAUUGCUGAAAUGAAUUAGAGUGGUACCGCGAGUUCAACCUCGUCUCUAUA